CUCGCAUUGAUGUGCCAUCCUGGAUGAGCUGCACUACCUGAGCCACUUGUGUGGGUUGUAGACUCAGUCUCAUGCUACCACUAGAGUGAAAGCACCGCCAGCAUUCAAAAGUGACCAAAACAUCAGCCAGGAAGCAUAGGAACUGAGAAGUGGUCACCACCUGCAGAACCACUCCUUUAUUGGGGGUGUCUUGCUAAUUGCCUAUAAUUUCCACCUGUUGUCUAUCCCAUUUGCACAACAGCA